UACAGAGGUGGCAAGCGUUGUUCGGAAUUACUGGGCGUAAAGGGCGCGUAGGCGGCUUGGUCAGUCCCGUGUGAAAUCCCUCGGCUCAACUGAGGAACUGCACGGGAAACUGCCUGGCUUGAGUUCGGGAGAGGGAAGCGGAAUUCCGGGUGUAGCGGUGAAAUGCGUAGAGAUCGGGAGGAAGGCCGGUGGCGAAGGCGGCGCUCUGGAACGUAUCUGACGCUGAGACACGAAAGCGUGGGGAGCAAACAGG
rnacentral:rRNA from 1 species